UACGGGGGGAGCAAGCGUUGUUCGGAUUUACUGGGCGUAAAGGGCGCGUAGGCGGUCAGCACAAGUCAGUUGUGAAAUCUCCGGGCUUAACUCGGAAAGGUCAACUGAUACUGUCGGGCUAGAGUGCGGAAGAGGCGAGUGGAAUUCCUGGUGUAGCGGUGAAAUGCGCAGAUAUCAGGAGAAACACCGAUUGCGAAGGCAGUUCGCUGGGACGUCACUGACGCUGAGACGCGAAAGCGUGGGGAGCAAACAGG
rnacentral:rRNA from 1 species